rnacentral:rRNA from 1 species
CCCUUAGAUGUUCUGGGCCGCACGCGCGCUACACUGAUGCAUUCAACGAGUCUAAAACCUGCUCUGAUAGGGGUGGGUAAUCUUUUGAAUGUGCAUCGUGAUUGGGAUAGAUGAUUGCAAUUUUUCGACUCGAACCGGGAAUUCCUUGUAAUCGUGAUUCAUCACAUCACGAUGAAUACGUCCCUGCCCUUUGUACACACCGCCCGUCGCUCCUACCGAUCGAAGAGUUAGGUGAAUUGUUUUGAUCGAUAAGAUUUGACUAUGGUCAACUCUCGUUGUGAAAUUCUGUGAAUCUGACUGUUUAGAGGAAGGAAAAGUCGUAACA